CGUCGACUCCUACGGGAGGCAGCAGUGGGGAAUAUUGCACAAUGGGCGCAAGCCUGAUGCAGCCAUGCCGCGUGUGUGAAGAAGGCCUUCGGGUUGUAAAGCACUUUUCAGUUGUGAGGAAAGGUUAGUCGCUAAUAUCGGCUAGCUGUGACGUUAGCAACAGAAGAAGCACCGGCUAACUCCGUGCCAGCAGCCGCGGGUAAUACGGAGGGUGCGAGCGUUAAUCGGAAUUACUGGGCGUAAAGCGCGUGUAGGUGGCUUGUUAAGCCAGAUGUGAAAGCCCCGGGCUCAACCUGGGAACUGCAUUUGGAACUGGCAGGCUAGAGUUUUGUAGAGGGUGGUAGAAUUUCAGGUGUAGCGGUGAAAUGCGUAGAGAUCUGAAGGAAUACCGGUGGCGAAGGCGACCACCUGGCCAAUAACUGACACUGAGACGCGAAAGCGUGGGGAGCAAACAGGAUUAGAUACCCUGGUAG
rnacentral:rRNA from 1 species